rnacentral:lncRNA from 10 species
UAUCUUGAGGCUAUGUUAACUCUUCCUUUUCUGUGAUAAUAUAAUCUGAAGGGACCCAAAUCAUCUGAAUGUCCUGAACAUCAUCACAUUGAUCCACUAUAUUGAUGGCAUUGUGUUCAUUAGACUGGAUGACCAAGAAGGGGCAGAUGUAUUGGAGGCCUUGAUAGUGAAGGUCAGCACCUGUGGGAAAGGAUGAAAAAUGGGUCUGAAGAAGCAAAUGGAAGAACUCAGCAGAGCAGGAGAUGUGAAUGCUCACAGAGAUACAGCUAGAGACCAGCAUGAAUGGUGGAAGUCU